rnacentral:rRNA from 1 species
UACGUAGGGCGCAAGCGUUGUCCGGAAUUAUUGGGCGUAAAGAGCUCGUAGGCGGCCAGUUGCGUCCGCUGUGAAAGCCCAUGGCUUAACUGUGGGUCUGCGGUGGAUACGGGCUGGCUAGAGGUAGGUAGGGGCAAGCGGAAUUCCUGGUGUAGCGGUGAAAUGCGCAGAUAUCAGGAGGAACACCGGUGGCGAAGGCGGCUUGCUGGGCCUUACCUGACGCUGAGGAGCGAAAGCGUGGGGAGCGAACAGG